ACCUAGACUUCUAUAGUAACUAAUUAUGUAACCUAAAGGUCUGGAGCUUUUCUUUUUUUUGGAUUUAAGGAUUAUUUAAGAAAAAGUGCAUGUGCCCUGGCUGGUGUGGGUCAGUGGAUU